UGGGGAGGUGACACCCGAGUCAGCAGAUGAUCGCAUUGGUGACUUAAUAGCGGAAGAAGAUGAAGAGGAACAUGAAGAGGAACAUGAGGGAGAUAGUGAGGUUUGGGUGACUCUACCUGAUCAUGACUACGACGUGAAGCCCCUUUCUGUGGAAGACCAGCUUGACGCAGUAAAGAAACGCAUCGCUUUCC